CCAAGCUAACAUGUAUUCCUUUCCAGACUCUAUCUACCCUUUGUUGGGAUUUAUAUUUUUUAAGACCAUAUGAAGUUUGGUGGUAAGUUUUUUUCCACCAGAUUACAAACUCUUCGAGGUCAAGAAUUAUGCCUUUUUUCAUCUUGAUAACCACUUCUCUAUUUUCCUGGUCCCAAUGUCUAAUACAAUGAAGGCUUAGCCCAGGGAAGGUGUUACAAACAAUGUAUUGAGUGAACUGAUGACUGAAAAAUGACUAAGGAACCAGAAUAAGGGAAGGAUAACACAUACUCUCCAGCAUCCAGCCAUAAAUCUGAAAUUGCUUAGUCUAAGAAUGCUUGGAGCCUGGUUGAUCAGAAGUACCCAAAAGAUGCCAGGGCUGGUCUCUGGAAUUUUCCUUCUGUCUUAGCAUGUUUAAAUUUGCAGACAAUCUGUGGAAGGAAUUCAAAAGACUCAAAAGUUCAGGGAUCCUAAGAAUCUGCUAUCUUGAGCCCUCCUGUCUUCAAAUACUUGAUCCUGCAACACUGAGCCCAGAGUAUACACUCAAUGAAUCUCUUUGGAGAAAAGAGGAUGGACAGAACUCAAAUGGUGCCCAAGGAGAGGCAGUCAUGGAUCAUGGAGAUGACCAAAAGAGGUCACUUUUAUUUUCAAGUAAGUUACCAAACCACUGUGACUUAACCUCCCCCCACC